rnacentral:rRNA from 1 species
GAUGAACGCUGGCGGCGUGCCUAAUACAUGCAAGUCGAGCGAACAGACGAGGAGCUUGCUCCUCUGACGUUAGCGGCGGACGGGUGAGUAACACGUGGAUAACCUACCUAUAAGACUGGGAUAACUUCGGGAAACCGGAGCUAAUACCGGAUAAUAUAUUGAACCGCAUGGUUCAAUAGUGAAAGACGGUUUUGCUGUCACUUAUAGAUGGAUCCGCGCCGCAUUAGCUAGUUGGUAAGGUAACGGCUUACCAAGGCAACGAUGCGUAGCCGACCUGAGAGGGUGAUCGGCCACACUGGAACUGAGACACGGUCCAGACUCCUACGGGAGGCAGCAGUAGGGAAUCUUCCCCAAAGGGCGAAAGCCUGACGGAGCAACGCCGCGUGAGUGAUGAAGGUCUUCGGAUCGUAAAACUCUGUUAUUAGGGAAGAACAAAUGUGUAAGUAACUAUGCACGUCUUGACGGUACCUAAUCAGAAAGCCACGGCUAACUACGUG